rnacentral:rRNA from 1 species
GACAGAGGGUGCAAACGUUGUUCGGAAUUACUGGGCGUAAAGCGUGCGCAGGCGGUUGGGCAAGACAGAUGUGAAAUCCCCGGGCUUAACCUGGGAAUUGCAUUUGUGACUGCACAGCUAGAGUGUGUCAGAGGGGGGUAGAAUUCCACGUGUAGCAGUGAAAUGCGUAGAUAUGUGGAGGAAUACCGAUGGCGAAGGCAGCCCCCUGGGAUACCACUGACGCUCAUGCACGAAAGCGUGGGGAGCAAACAGG